rnacentral:lncRNA from 7 species
GUCCAUCCCAAUGUAGCGUCGGGCACUUGCGCAUGCCGUGGAGACAAACCCUGGGUGGAGCAGAGAGACCGCUGAGGGCUCGAUCUGAACCAUGUCGUCAGCAAGACUAUGGUGAAGCAUUAGGUUAUUCGCGGGCGACCUACAAAGUUUGGCAUGGCCUCGCCGGGCACAAUCGGGGACCUAUGUGAUGGCAAUUUCUCGCCAUCGGCUCGGUGCCGCCGUGGGCCGCAUCACGCCAUAGGCAGCGAUCUGCGCUACGUAACUGUCGAAUACAUGUUCUACAGGUGCAAAAAGGUUCAACACAAACCAAUAAAUAUUCAAGUUAAGGAUCAAAUUCAAAGGAGCAAAGAAACUUGAGUGUGUUGUGGACUGACGCACCGGACUGUUCGGUGUGCCACCGGACAGUGUCCGGUGCACCAGGUCCAUACUAAACUGAACCAGCCACUCUCGGGUUUCAACAGGCGCACUCCGCUAUAAUUCACUGAACUGUCCAGUGUGCCACCGGACUGUCCGGUGUGCCAGCAGAGCAACGGAUAAAUCGCGCAAUGGUCGACUCUGCAAAGUCUACAGUGCGCUACAGUUCGUGACAGAUGUCACACCCGGGCUUUAAGGAACAAAGUCGGGUGCAUCUCAUAUAUGUGCCAAAGAAGACAACACAUAUAAUAACAGAGUGCAUAGAGAUAAAUGUCAUAAAUAUCAUAAAUGUACUUAUUACAUAACGUAAGUCUU